rnacentral:RNase_P_RNA from 1 species
UUCAGAGGCUGAGGUGAUCGCGGUCGGAGCUGCUCACGCAGCUCGCAGAUCGAGGAAAGUCCGGGCCCCACAGGGCAGGGUGCUUGCGAAAUGCAAGUCGGGGUGACCCGCAGGAAAGUGCCACAGAAAGCAAACCACCGGCGUUCGCGUCGGAAAGGGUGAAAGGGUGCGGUAAGAGCGCACCGGUCCCUCGGUGACGAGGGUCGCAUGGUAAACCCCACUCGGAGCAAGGCCGAACAGGGACACGUCUCGAGCCUUCGGGUGACAGACAAGGGGUGGCCCGCCCCGUCCCGGGUAGUGCCGCGUAGAAGAAUGAUCACCACCUGAGCGAGGCAACGAACUCAGGGACAAAACCCGGCUUACGAUCCUCUGAGCCCC